rnacentral:rRNA from 1 species
CGGACGGGUGAGUAAUGCGUAGGAAUUUACCUCAAAGCGGGGGAUAGCCCGGAGAAAUCCGGAUUAAUACCGCAUGUGCUCUACGGAGGAAAGCGGGCCUCUUCUUGAAAGCUCGCACUUUGAGAUAAGCCUAUGUCGGAUUAGCUUGUUGGUAGGGUAAAAGCCUACCAAGGCAACGAUCCGUAGCUGGUUUGAGAGGAUGAUCAGCCACACUGGGACUGAGACACGGCCCAG